AUAUUGCACAAUGGGGGAAACCCUGAUGCAGCCAUGCCGCGUGUGUGAAGAAGGCCUUCGGGUUGUAAAGCACUUUCAGUAGGGAGGAAAGGUAGCAGCUUAAUACGCUGUUGCUGUGACGUUACCUACAGAAGAAGGACCGGCUAACUCCGUGCCAGCAGCCGCGGUAAUACGGAGGGUCCGAGCGUUAAUCGGAAUUACUGGGCGUAAAGCGUGCGCAGGCGGUUUGUUAAGCGAGAUGUGAAAGCCCCGGGCUCAACCUGGGAAUUGCAUUUCGAACUGGCGAACUAGAGUCUUGUAGAGGGGGGUAGAAUUCCAGGUGUAGCGGUGAAAUGCGUAGAGAUCUGGAGGAAUACCGGUGGCGAAGGCGGCCCCCUGGACAAAGACUGACGCUCAGGCACGAAAGCGUGGGGAGCAAACAGGAUUAGAUACCCUGGUAGUCCACGCCGUAAACGAUGUCUACUCGGAGUUUGGUGUCUUGAACACUGGGCUCUCAAGCUAACGCAUUAAGUAGACCGCCUGGGGAGUACGGCCGCAAGGUUAAAACUCAAAUGAAUUGACGGGGCCC
rnacentral:rRNA from 1 species